ACAUUUGGUCUCAUAAAUGAUUAUCUAAGAUAAAUUAAUUAACUUUAAGACUUUAUCGCACUAGUUUGACACAUUUGUCUGUUCAGUACGUUUUAAUUUUUGUUAUUAUCAUAUUUUUGGUACCAUUGAUGCCUCAGAGGAACCAAAACUGUAUCAACCAUCGUUAGGACGGCUAGUAAAUCAUGCAGACAAAAAACUACAGAGAAAUUCAAGAAUAACAGUCAUUGGUGUGAAUGGGGUUCCUCAUCUUGUACUGUUUGCGACUAGAUUUGACUUGUAAUGAAAACUGCGACGAUGAGCCAGUUCAGUCUCCUGUAAAAUGCAGAGUGUGUGAAUACCAAAGGAAGGUCUGCAGUUCGAUUGGUCAUGAGAACAACAACAGUGGUGUAACAUCGGCUUCGAAACGCAAAGCAGAAUUUCCAGUACAAACAGGCAAAAAGAUCAAGGUCGUUCCUUGGACAGAGAAGCAGUUAGCGCCAUGCGAAGGUCAUUCGUCAAAAAUAUCCGCUGCUUAAGAGUUCCUAACAAGCAGGAAUGCGGACGAGCAAGGAAAAAUGAGAGCCUGUUGCUUUCUCGUGAUUGGAAGAACAAUAAAUUCCGUGACCAUCAUGAAGUACAAAGAUUAAAGAAAAAAAAAGUUAAAAGAAAAAGAAACAUCCGUUAAACUUGCAAUGAAAUCUAACAGACAUAUAUUUUCAAAAUGUAAAAAUGUUUAUGUGUGUUUUUUUUACAUAAAGUCCCCAGACACUCGUUCAUGUACAGUAUUAUUUUUGCUGGAUGUUCAUGUUAAGAGGUCAUGAAAUAUCGACAAAUUACUAUCACGGAUUCGUUCAUGAAAAAAAUAAUAAAUUGACUGAAACAAAAGUAUUGUAGUUCUUCAAUUGAGGUUGUCGUUCUUAAUGAAAGCUAAAGAUUUUUCCAUUCUUCUAAGUUAUACCUCUCAAACAAUUCAUUCUUGCAGAAUUUGUACAGAACUUUUGUUUAAGUUUAGUCCAUUAUCAUUCAUUUACAUUUAUUUACGAUGAAUACGUGUUCGCGGUCCGAAUACAUCUAUUCAUCGUUUGCACUGUGUUUGUUUUCAUCUUAACAGUGAUAGAAAUUUUUAAUUAAAUGCCUAGAUCUUGGCAGUGGGCUAUCUAUCUUCUCCAGCACAGUUUGGGAUAAUGACUAUCACAGUAUAGUUCCAAUAAACAAGGAUGAUUGUUUAUUGGAGGUCAGUCUACCUUACAAAUGUAUCAAUUAGUGAGAAGGGGAAACAUAAAUAUUGAUAACUUUUAAAGUUAUACCUGUUU
rnacentral:lncRNA from 1 species